rnacentral:rRNA from 1 species
UACAGAGGGUGCGAGCGUUAAUCGGAAUUACUGGGCGUAAAGCGUGCGUAGACGGCUAUCUAAGUCGGGUGUGAAAGCCCCGGGCUCAACCUGGGAAUUGCAUUCGAGACUGAAUAGCUAGGGUACGGUAGAGGGAAGCGGAAUUUCCGGUGUAGCGGUGAAAUGCGUAGAUAUCGGGAGGAACACCGGUGGCGAAGGCGGUUCUCUGGGCCUGACCUGGACGCUGAGGAGCGAAAGCGUGGGGAGCGAACAGG